UACGUAGGGUGCGAGCGUUGUCCGGAAUUAUUGGGCGUAAAGGGCUCGUAGGCGGUCUGUCACGUCGGGAGUGAAAACACGGGGCUUAACCCCGUGCCUGCUUCCGAUACGGGCAGACUAGAGGUAUGCAGGGGAGAACGGAAUUCCUGGUGUAGCGGUGAAAUGCGCAGAUAUCAGGAGGAACACCGGUGGCGAAGGCGGGUCUCUGGGCCAACACGAUGACGUGAGGAGCGAAAGCGUGGGGAGCGAACAGG
rnacentral:rRNA from 1 species